AUUUCACAUAUUCUUCCCCGCGCCUCCACACCCUCCCCUCCAAAUGCUCUAUCGGCGGCGCUUCUCAGCCUUGCACCGCCGUCGCACUUUUCGCCGCCGUCGCACUUUUCGCCGCCGCCGCACCUUUCCCCGCCGCCACACCGAACCUCCGUUGCACUGAACUUUCAUUGCCCCGUCACACCCCUUCCCGGAUCUUCUAUGUGUGUUGCUCACGUCGUUCCCUUUCGAACCCUAAUGUGCAUUUCUCCACCACCGUCUUCGUCGCCUUCAUCUACCUUCGCGAUUUUAUAAAACUACAGCACUAACCAUAACCAGUGGCGUCCGCUGAGCAGCCCUUGAAGAAGCGAAAGCACAACACUCUCCCGGAAUCCCCACUGUCACACCACCGCCGCUAGCACUACCGCCACAAUCUCCUCAAACCCUAGCUCGUCCGCCUACUCCUCCUCCUCCGCCUCUGUCACAGGAUGAAGUCAUCACCAAGCAGAGGAACAAAGAUGAGGUUCGAACCAUGUUUGAGAGUUACCGUUGCAUCAAGCUCUUCUUGUCAAAGAAGGAAGGUGAUUUCAUCCAUGACCUUGAUCAGAGCUUCUUCGCUCUCGUAAAUGCUUCCAGAGGUCUGUGAACUGGACUUGAUAUUCAACUUCCAUAAGUUUUUCAGUGGAAUAGAGAAUUA